UACGUAGGGUGCGAGCGUUGUCCGGAUUUAUUGGGCGUAAAGAGCUCGUAGGCGGUUUGUCGCGUCGGCCGUGAAAUCUCCACGCUUAACGUGGAGCGUGCGGUCGAUACGGGCAGACUUGAGUUCGGUAGGGGAGACUGGAAUUCCUGGUGUAGCGGUGAAAUGCGCAGAUAUCAGGAGGAACACCGGUGGCGAAGGCGGGUCCCUGGGCCGAUACUGACGCUGAGGCACGAAAGCUAGGGUAGCAAACGGG
rnacentral:rRNA from 1 species